rnacentral:misc_RNA from 1 species
GAAGAGGCGGUGGAGGCGGAGUCCCUCCUAUUUAUAUAUGCUUGCAUAAUCCUAUUUCGUUUCUAUUCUUCUGUUUUGAUUUAUUCAGUAUUUAUCAUCUUCUCUGCUUUCUUCUCUUUCCUAAAACGGCCAAUUUGCCUUCCACUUAGAUUUGCUGUUGAACCUAACCUCUUGUUUCGUUACACAUUCUUUCUUGAUCUGUUUCAACUCUUUCUUUGUGGAUAGCAUGGCUAUGGAACCAAGCUUCUUUGAGCAUGAGGUACACUUUGAAUCUGAAGAUGUUGCACUUAAGCCAAAAUGGAAAUCCAUCUCAACCCCUACUGGCAUCUCAGAUGAUGAUGGUGAUUGUUUUGACUGCAACAUAUGCUUAGACUCGGCACAAGAUCCUAUUGUCACUCUUUGUGGUCAUCUGUAUUGCUGGCCAUGUAUUUACAAGUGGCUGCAAGUUCAAAGUUCUCCAGAUGCCAAUGAACAGCAGCCAAGCUGCCCUGUUUGUAAGGCUAACAUUUCCCAAAAUUCAUUGGUCCCCCUUUACGGGCGUGGCACAUCCCGAGCUGAUUCAGCAUCCAAGAAGGCCUCUCCUGAUGUAGUUAUACCCCGUCGGCCACCUCCUGCAUUGAAUACAUUAAUUUCUAAUACUUCGCAACAAGGUCAGCAACUUCAUCCAAACUUCUUUCAGUCACAGUCACAACCACAGUCCUUUCAUCACCAGCCAUAUUUCCCUAACCCUUAUUUGGCCUCAUCAAAUCUCGGUAAUGCAGCAACGUCACAAAUUUUCAAUCCCAUGAUUGGAAUGUUUGGAGAGAUGAUGUUUGCAAGAAUUUUUGGGACGUCGGACGCAAGUUUGUUUGCUUAUUACUACCCAAAUUCUAACCAUCUGAUGGGAGGCUAUAGCCAUAGGAUGAGGAGGCAGGAGAUGCAGCUUGAAAAGUCUCUAAAUAGGGUGACAAUCUUUCUUCUUUGCUGCAUCAUUCUGUGUCUUCUCUUGUUUUGAUCAUUUUAGUUUUAAGCUUUUGUAUACUUGUAUUAAGUAAUGAAAAGAAGCCAUGAACAUAUUCACAGGACAUAGGCGCUAUUAGAAAAUUUCCUGGGAAAUCAGUUUGUGAGGUUUCCCAUGUGGCAUUUUUGCAUGUAAAUAAAUGUUAUUCUUUACAGGCACUUUCUCAUCCAUUAAUAUUAUUUGAUAUUCUUGAGCUCUAUUGUUGAACUCUUGAUUUUAGUAGUAAUGUUGGCUGUUUCUUUAUCCUGGUCCCUAGCUCAUGGAUUUCACAUAUAAAGUCUUGCAGCACACAGAUUUCACAGUGUUAAUGGCCCAUGGAUUGAGUCAUUCUUUUCUGAUCCAAAGCUUCUUUGAGAGGAAUUCUAUCUUGGUGAUUUGUUUCUAGUCAAUUGGGUUUGGUGUGUUUGAGUGUUGACAUCGACUAUGGGAGUUGAUUCAAAGGGAGGUGUCUACAGAGAUUAAGAGCCGGCGUUAAAGUUGCUAUUGCUGGUGGUCCAUGUCUAGAGGAGAGUGAGAUGCUAUAACCCCUGCUUCUCUACUCUCUCAUGUUGAAAGUUAGAGAGCAUAGUGUUCCCUUGCGAGAUGAUGGUUAGUUUGUUGAGUUUUUUGGGUUUUCUCUUAGCUUUGCUUGGUUUUUUCAAUCUUGCAUGGCUUUGUGGAAACUUCUCCUUCACUGGGUCUCUGACGGCUUCUCUGUUUCGAUAGCUUCCUGUUGCGGUGCUAAGCAUGUUUGCGAUCUGUGGCUUGAGAACGGGGACUAGGAUUCUGCGGUGUAGAGGAGGUAUUAAGCCUCUGGGCUGGGCCUGUUCUUGAGUUAAAGAUGCUUUGUAAUCUGGUUUUCUGUCUUAACUUUGCAAGUAUGCCUAUUUUGAGUUUUAAUGUAAUCUCUUGC